rnacentral:rRNA from 1 species
AUUGAACGCUGGCGGCAGGCCUAACACAUGCAAGUCGAACGGUAACAGGAAGAAGCUUGCUUCUUUGCUGACGAGUGGCGGACGGGUGAGUAAUGUCUGGGAAACUGCCUGAUGGAGGGGGAUAACUACUGGAAACGGUAGCUAAUACCGCAUAACGUCGCAAGACCAAAAAGGGGGACCUUCGGGCCUCUUGCCAUCGGAUGUGCCCAGAUGGGAUUAGCUAGUAGGUGGGGUAACGGCUCACCUAGGCGACGAUCCCUAGCUGGUCUGAGAGGAUGACCGCCCACACUGGAAAUGAGACACGGUCCAGACCCCUACGGGGGGCAGCAGGGGGGAAUAUUGCACAGUGGGGGAAAGCCUGAUGCAGCCAUGCCGGGUGUAUGAAGAAGGCCUUCGGGUUGUAAAGUACUUUCGGGGGGGAGGAAGGGAGUAAAGUUAAUCCCUUUGCUAAUUGACGUUCCCCGCAGAAGAAGCCCCGGCUAACUCCG